UACGAAGGGGGCUAGCGUUGUUCGGAAUUACUGGGCGUAAAGGGCGCGUAGGCGGCGCAUCAAGUCAGGCGUGAAAGCCCCGGGCUCAACCUGGGAACCGCGCUUGAGACUGGUGCGCUCGAGUUCGGGAGAGGAUGGUGGAAUUCCCAGUGUAGAGGUGAAAUUCGUAGAUAUUGGGAAGAACACCGAUGGCGAAGGCAGCCAUCUGGACCGACACUGACGCUGAGGCGCGAAAGCUAGGGGAGCAAACGGG
rnacentral:rRNA from 1 species